rnacentral:lncRNA from 1 species
UGCCCUGCAUACUCUUAGAUAUCUUAAAGGCACUUCUGAUCUUGGGGUUUUCCUCAAUAACACCCCUGACUUAGCCUUAACAGCCUACUGUGACAGUGACUGGGCCUCUUACCCAGACACUAGGAGGUCUGUUACUGGUUUUUGCAUAUUUUUAGGGGGCUCUCUGAUUGGCUGGAAAGCCAAGAAGCAGCCUGUGGUGUCCUUGUCUUCAGCUGAGGCUGAAUACAGAGCAAUGAGCAAAGUUGUUGGUGAGAUUACUUGUCUCACUCGACUGUUCUCUGAUUUUGGGGUUCCUCUCUCCUCUGUUGUACCUGUUUUCUGUGAUAAUCAGGCAGCCAUCCACGUUGCAAAAAAUCCUGUUAGCCUCCUGCCCAGACACUAGAAGGUCUGUUACUGGUUUUUGCAUAUUUUUAGGUGGUUCUCUGAUUGGCUGGAAAGCCAAGAAGCAACCUGUGGUGUCCUUGUCUUCAGCUGAGGCUGAAUACAGAGC